UACGCAGGGAGCUAGCGUUGUUCGGAAUUACUGGGCGUAAAGCGCACGUAGGCGGCUUUGUAAGUUAGAGGUGAAAGCCCGGGGCUCAACUCCGGAACUGCCUUUAAGACUGCAUCGCUUGAAUCCAGGAGAGGUGAGUGGAAUUCCGAGUGUAGAGGUGAAAUUCGUAGAUAUUCGGAAGAACACCAGUGGCGAAGGCGGCUCACUGGACACAUAUUGACGCUGAGGUGCGAAAGCGUGGGGAGCAAACAGG
rnacentral:rRNA from 1 species